AUCCUGCUCUGGCUCCCACCUCCGUUCAGGCGGAGCCACUCGGCGCCUGAAGCGAAGGGCCUCCGGUGCCUACGUGCAGUCGCCUCCUCCGCUUGAGCCUACGCCUUCUGCUCCAGUUGCUUUCCCAACCGAGCAGAAAAGCCGGGGGCGUGUUGCCGGGGCACUGGGAAGCCGGGAGCUUGGGCACUGCGCCUGAAGUCGCUGCUGCGCCUCCCCGCCCACGGGCGGUCGGGUCACGGUCCCUGAAGCCCCAGCCUGCCAGAUUGGAGCCCAUACUGACGUCAAGGGUAAAGGGGACCAGAGGCACCUGAGUCACCCAACCAGAAACCCAGCCUCUAGUGGGUGUUUCAUUGUGACACUGUGCGGCCUGAGGGGGAAGUACCCUCUCCUUUGAUUACCGUUGUGAAUCUAUGAAUAAACAGUUACACCCUGAGGGGUGCUAAGCUUUGGGAGUUACAGGGCUUGAGGUCAGCUCUAGAAGUCUUGAAAGUGGAGUUGUUGCAGGACACUGGGUUCCUUAGGAGCCGCCCCAGGCUUAAUGAUUGUCCAGAAGUUGGCUAUAAAGGGAGCCUGGGAGGCUGAUUGGAGGAGGGAGCAGAAAAAGCCUAACUCAGCAGGUCUGGGCACCGAGAGCCGAAAGCAGGAGCUGUGGUCAGAAGCUCGUGUCCCAGCCGGUAGGGCCUGCUCUCUCCCACCAUGGCGGCCCGAGGCUACGGCUAUUAUCGUGCUGUGAUCUUCUCAGCCAUGUUUGGAGGCUACAGCCUGUACUACUUCAACCGCAAGACCUUCUCCUUUGUCAUGCCGUCGCUGGUGGAAGAGAUCCGUCUGGACAAGGAUGACUUGGGGCUCAUCACCAGUAGCCAGUCAGCAGCCUAUGCCAUCAGCAAGUUUGUGAGUGGGGUGCUGUCUGACCAGAUGAGUGCUCGCUGGCUCUUCUCCUCUGGGCUGCUUCUUGUUGGCCUGGUCAAUGUCAUCUUUUCCUGGAGCUCCACAGUACCUGUCUUCGCUGCUCUCUGGUUCCUCAAUGGCCUGGCCCAGGGGCUGGGCUGGCCCCCGUGUGGCAAGAUCUUGCGGAAGUGGUUUGAGCCAUCUCAGUUUGGCACUUGGUGGGCCAUCCUAUCAACUAGCAUGAACCUGGCUGGAGGGCUGGGCCCCAUCCUGGCAACCAUCCUCGCCCAGAGCUAUAGCUGGCGUAGCACGCUGGCCCUGUCUGGGGCCUUGUGUGUGGUUGUCUCCUUCCUCUGUCUCCUGCUCAUCCACAAUGAACCUGCUGAUGUUGGACUCCGCAACCUGGACCCUAUCCCCUCCAAGGGCAAGAAGGGCUCCUCAAAGGAGGAGAGUACCUUACAGGAGCUGCUGCUGACCCCCUACCUGUGGGUGCUCUCCAUUGGCUACCUUGUGGUAUUUGGCGUAAAGACGUGCUGUACUGACUGGGGCCAGUUCUUCCUUAUCCAGGAGAAAGGACAGUCAGCCCUCGUGGGUAGCUCCUACAUGAGUGCCCUGGAGGUUGGGGGCCUUGUAGGCAGCAUCGCAGCUGGCUACUUGUCAGACCGGGCCAUGGCAAAGGCAGGGCUGUCCAUCCACGGGAACCCCCGCCAUGGCCUGCUGCUGCUCAUGAUGGCUGGCAUGACAGCAUCCAUGUACCUCUUCCGGGUAACUGUGACCAGUGACUCCCCUAAGGAUGCUGCUUUCUGGACUCCAGCUCUGCACCCUCUUGCUGAGCUCACAGGCUUUACGGAGCACGAGCUCUGGAUCCUGGUGUUGGGAGCUGUGUUUGGUUUCUCCUCUUAUGGUCCCAUUGCCUUGUUUGGAGUCAUAGCCAAUGAGAGUGCCCCUCCCAACCUGUGUGGCACCUCCCAUGCCAUUGUGGGACUCAUGGCCAAUGUGGGUGGCUUUCUGGCUGGGUUGCCCUUCAGCACCAUUGCCAAGCAUUACAGCUGGAGCACAGCCUUCUGGGUGGCUGAAGUGAUCUGUGCGGCCAGUACAGGUGCCUUCUUCCUCCUACGAAACAUCCGCACCAAGAUGGGCCGAGUGCCAAAGAAGGCUGAGUGAAGACCGUGCAAACUCUGGAGCGUCCUUUCUCACCUGUGUCAUGGGGGUUGGGAAAGGGAGGGAGGGGGCUGCUCUGGCAGCACCACCUUUGACUUUCUUUUUCUGCACCUUUUCCCUCACCCAGGUGGUGCUGGAAGUUAUCAGUGGCUAAUGAGGUCCCAGCUCCCCAUCCUAUCUCUAUUUAAAAAACAAGUUUUGGGAGUUCUCACUGUAGCACAGUGGGUUAGGAAUCCAAUUGCAGUGGCUUGGGUUGCUGCAGAGGUGUAGGUUCAACCCCUGGCCCAGCAUAGCAGGUUAAAGGACCCAGCAUUGCUACAGCUGCAGUUCGGAUUAGAUUCUUGGCCCAGGAACUUCCAUAUGCCUCAGGUGCAGCCAUAAAAAUUAAAAAAAAAAAAAAGAGAGAGAGAGAGAGAGAGAAAACCUUUGUUUCUGGACUCCGUUAGUUCUUGCCUUCAAACUGGAAACCCCAGCACUCAGGGAGUCUCCUAUACCCUUCUCCCUCUCCUGGGCUCCGUCCUGUCCCCAUCACACACCAUCCCCACCUGAGGUGACGCUCCUGUAGCAGGACAGCAGUAGCCCGGGACUGCCCUGAGACCUCUCAGCAGGGGGCAGUUGCUAUUGCCAAUACCUUGGACUCCAGUGGAAGAGGGGAGGCCGUCACUCUUACCGAUACCUUGGGUACAGUAGGGGGUAAGGGUGGGAGGGUACAGAGACUUGUUAUAGAAAAUUAAAACUAGAUUUGAUAC
rnacentral:lncRNA from 1 species